rnacentral:tRNA from 1 species
UGCAUGGUGGUGCAGUGGGUAGCGCUGUUGACUCACAAGCAAGAAGGUCCUGGGUUCGAAUCCGGCCUAUGUCC